UACGGAGGGGGCUAGCGUUGCUCGGAAUUACUGGGCGUAAAGCGCACGUAGGCGGGUUGUUAAGUCAGGGGUGAAAUCCCGGAGCUUAACUCCGGAACUGCCUUUGAUACUGGCAAUCUAGAGACUGGAAGAGGUUAGCGGAAUUCCCAGUGUAGAGGUGAAAUUCGUAGAUAUUGGGAAGAACACCAGUGGCGAAGGCGGCUAACUGGUCCAGUACUGACGCUGAGGUGCGAAAGCGUGGGGAGCAAACAGG
rnacentral:rRNA from 1 species